CUUAGCAGUUUUCUUAAGAUAUUUGCAGAGGGAUUUGUUAAUAAAUCCUUCCUGGCCUGAUUUAAUAAAAAAAGAAGAAUAUGGGAAAAAUUGAUUUUUAAGGCUAUGGACAGUAUAUUUUGAUCUCCUAGGUAAUGAAAGCAGAUAUCCUGAAAUCCCUCUAAUUUAUUUUCAUCUUGGGUGUAAACAAAAUGAAAAAAUAAUUUUGCACCUGGCUUUAUCAUAUGUUCAGAUCUAUCUACCAAAACUGUAUGCAAAAUCACACAUAUUUAAUGAGAUAAUGCCUAAAUUGCAUA